rnacentral:rRNA from 1 species
UGGGGAAUCUUCCGCAAUGGACGAAAGUCUGACGGAGCAACGCCGCGUGAGUGAAGAAGGUUUUCGGAUCGUAAAACUCUGUCUUUCGGGGCGAACGUGAGUAUGGUGAACAAUCAUAGUCAGUGACGGUACCAAAGGAGGAAGCCACGGCUAACUACGUGCCAGCAGCCGCGGUAAUACGUAGGUGGCAAGCGUUGUCCGGAAUUAUUGGGCGUAAAGAGCGCGUAGGCGGGAUAGUCAGUCUGUUGUAAAAGUGCGGGGCUCAACCCCGUGAUGGCAAUGGAAACAGCUAUUCUUGAGUGCAGGAGAGGAAAGUGGAAUUCCCAGUGUAGCGGUGAAAUGCGUAGAUAUUGGGAGGAACACCAGUGGCGAAGGCGACUUUCUGGACUGUGUCUGACGCUGAGGCGCGAAAAGCCAGGGGAGCGAACGGGAUUAGAUACCCCUGGUAGUCCACGGCCGUAAAACGAUGAGUACUAGGUGUAGGAGGUAUCGACCCCUUCUGUGCCGCAGUUAACACAAUAAGUACUCCGCCUGGGAAGUACGAUCGCAAGAUUAAAAACUUAAAGGAAAUUGACGGGGGUCAUAGCUGUUUCCUG